rnacentral:tRNA from 1 species
GGCUGUAGCUUAGUGGUAGAGCACUUGCCUGGUAUGUAUGACGCUCUGGGUUCAAUCCUCGGCAUCA